CUUUGGGCCUGCGGUGGCACCUCAAGGCAGAGCAAAACCAUUUACCUCACAGUGGGAAGCAAAAAAAAGGAAGUCCCCUUCAAAGGCACGCCCCCAAUGACCUGAAGACCUCUCUCUAGGUCCCGCCUCUUAAAGGCUCUACCUCUUCCCAACAGUGCCUCUCUGGGGAAAAGACUUUAGCACAUGGGCCCUUAUAGAACCUUCCAGAUCCAAACAAUAGCAUUUUCCAAAUCAGUUGGGAUUUUAUCUCUAGGAAAUACAGAUAAGGUAGAUCUUUGGAUUGGGAAGUCAGGAAAGUAUGAGAUAAAAUAGAAAUGACCUGAAGGAAAUCUUUCUGUCCACCUAAGUCUGGCCACAAAGCUGCUGGUGGGUCAGCCUGCCCAGCACUCCCUUAUGGGGCUUUCACCUCUGUGUGUCCAUCAACUUGGAGAUGGCCAAGUGCGUGCAUGGAGGGUGUCUCAGGGCGCCCCCUGGUGCUCGCUGAGGACAUCUCAGGACGCCCUUCUGCCGUGGUCCUGGUAAUGGCAGGCAGCAGGGGCGGCGUCCAGGGCACAGGGUGAACCUCAGAUCUGCAGUGUCAGCAGAGGAGUUCACAAGGAGGACAGAAAAGCCACCGCGGGCUCAGUAAGGUCAAAGACAGCCAGCUGUUUGCAGAGUCUGAGUUCUUCCGGGAUUUGGUGGCUUUAUAGUCACCUCUUAGAACAUUUGGGAGAGGCAUCUGAGUAAAGAGAUGCCUCACCACUGUGGCAGGCACCGUCCAUCUGAGGAGGCCCAAACAGGACAAAGGACAGAGGGGGAGCAAACGCUCCCUCUGCUUCAGCUGUGACAGUGGCCUUUUACCCAAAGGCCUCGGGGCUUGACCUGAGUCACAUCACCAGCCUUCCUGGUCUCAGCUCGCAGACUACAGCUGGUGACAUCUCUGUC
rnacentral:lncRNA from 1 species